GCUGGCGGCGUGCUUACACAUGCAAGUCGAACGAGAAAUCUUUAGCUUGCUAGAGAAAGUAAAGUGGCGCACGGGUGAGUAACGCGUGGGUAAUCUGCCUCCGAAUCGGGGAUAACAUUGCGAAAGCGAUGCUAAUACCGGAUAAAAUCUGGUUGGCUUAGGUGAACCGGAUCAAAGGUGGUCUCUUUAUAAAAGCUACCGUUUGGAGAUGAGCUCGCGUACCAUUAGCUAGUUGGUGAGGUAAAGGCUCACCAAGGCGACGAUGGUUAGCUGGUCUGAGAGGAUGAUCAGCCACACCGGAACUGGAACACGGUCCGGACUCCUACGGGAGGCAGCAGUGAGGAAUUUUGCGCAAUGGGGGAAACCCUGACGCAGCAACGCCGCGUGAGUGAUGAAGGCUUUCGGGUCGUAAAGCUCUGUCAGGUGGGAAGAACCCACCAAGUGUUAAGACCACUUGGUGCUGACGGUACCACCGAAGGAAGCACCGGCUAACUCCGUGCCAGCAGCCGCGGUAAUACGGGGGGUGCGAGCGUUAUUCGGAAUCAUUGGGCGUAAAGGGCGCGCAGGCGGUUUUGUAAGUCAGAUGUGAAAUCCCGGGGCUUAACCCCGGAAGUGCAUAUGAAACUAUGAGACUUGAGUAUGGGAGAGGGAAGCGGAAUUCCUGGUGUAGCGGUGAAAUGCGUAGAUAUCAGGAGGAACACCGGUGGCGAAGGCGGCUUCCUGGACCAAUACUGACGCUGAGGCGCGAAGGCGUGGGGAGCGAACAGGAUUAGAUACCCUGGUAGUCCACGCAGUAAACGUUGAUCACUAGGUGUAGCGGGUAUUGACCCC
rnacentral:rRNA from 1 species